AUUGAACGCUGGCGGCAGGCCUAACACAUGCAAGUCGAGCGGUAGCACAGGAGAGCUUGCUCUCUGGGUGACGAGCGGCGGACGGGUGAGUAAUGUCUGGGAAACUGCCUGAUGGAGGGGGAUAACUACUGGAAACGGUAGCUAAUACCGCAUGACCUCGCAAGAGCAAAGUGGGGGACCUUCGGGCCUCACGCCAUCGGAUGUGCCCAGAUGGGAUUAGCUAGUAGGUGAGGUAAUGGCUCACCUAGGCGACGAUCCCUAGCUGGUCUGAGAGGAUGACCAGCCACACUGGAACUGAGACACGGUCCAGACUCCUACGGGAGGCAGCAGUGGGGAAUAUUGCACAAUGGGCGCAAGCCUGAUGCAGCCAUGCCGCGUGUGUGAAGAAGGCCUUCGGGUUGUAAAGCACUUUCAGCGGGGAGGAAGGGAGUAAAGUUAAUACCUUUGCUCAUUGACGUUACCCGCAGAAGAAGCACCGGCUAACUCCGUGCCAGCAGCCGCGGUAAUACGGAGGGUGCAAGCGUUAAUCGGAAUUACUGGGCGUAAAGCGCACGCAGGCGGUUUGUUAAGUCAGAUGUGAAAUCCCCGGGCUCAACCUGGGAACUGCAUCUGAUACUGGCAAGCUUGAGUCUCGUAGAGGGGGGUAGAAUUCCAGGUGUAGCGGUGAAAUGCGUAGAGAUCUGGAGGAAUACCGGUGGCGAAGGCGGCCCCCUGGACAAAGACUGACGCUCAGGUGCGAAAGCGUGGGGAGCAAACAGG
rnacentral:rRNA from 1 species